UGGAAAACAGAUUAUCUGUCCUGUUUCAAGAAAAAAAUGUAAAAUCUGUAAUUUUUAUACAUAUUAAAGAAUGGUAUAGAAAGAAGGAAUUAUGGGAAGCAAGGGAAUAAGGAUGUAAUGGAAAUUGUGGAAGGAGAAUGUGAAGGUGGAAAGCUGGAGGAAGGCCAAGCCAGCUGUUCUGUAGGACGACUGUGUGCUGAAGGUGUACCAGGAAGACAUUCAUCUCUGAUGUUCGCUGUCUUCUCUACAACCACAAAGAACAAAGCAGACAAGAUGAGGUAUCUUUCUUGGUUAACCAGCCACAACUAUCCUGACCAGUCAAAUAUUC
ensembl:lncRNA